UCAUGCUGACGCUUGACGCUGGUUAUGAGCGUCAAAUUGGGUCACGUGGUUAAUUUAGGCCGUGCUGCCACCUGGAAAAAACUUAGUAGCGUCAAAUCGUAAAAAGCUAAACUCGGUUUAGCUUUUUAUGCUGAGGGUGGAGCGUCAAUUUACAAAUAAUAUAAUCGAACUCGAAAAUAAUCGAUUUUGACAAAGUUUAAGAAGCCAAAUUAUUUAUUUCUGUGUUAAAUAAAUGUCUGUUUGAAUAUUGAAUAAAUAUAGAAUAAUAUUAAUUUUAGAAGGCAAAUGCAAUGGCACUGUUUGAAGAUUUCGUCGAUAGUAUGAAGAAAGAGUAGGGAAGACGGCUUCGAAAAAUCCAUGCUCUCGUCGUAAUUUAAAUAAAGGAUGGAUCCAAAAUUUCUUUGGUGUAUAUUUUUUUUUAGAUCUCUGGAUAACUAUUUCAUUGCAUAAUAAAGCACAUAUGAUCCUUUUACGUCGAAUUUUUUUUUUUAUUUGCGCUUGACGAAUUAUUUUUUGACACUGAUAAAUCCACAAUUGAUAAUCAUAUUCAUCUGCCAUUGAAAUUUCGAUAAGUCACUUAAAUUUGAUGUUAAGAACUAGCUUCUAGGUAUAUCUCGAGAUAUCGACUUUCGAUAUUCAUACAUUUUUUUCGCCGCUGAUUUUUUUAAUUUGACGCUGGCAUUUGACGCUGGAUAUGUCUUUAUUUAUUUCAGCUAGGUGGAGC